UCUAGGACUCCACCAUCCCAGUUAAUCAAGUCCAGAUGAACUGCAACCUGACAUUGAUCGGGGCUGGGGCCUGAAGAGAGGAAAGUCGAGUGUCGGCCUGGGGAAGAUGGGACUGGUUGGUCUCCCUUCAGGACUAUGAGCACAGGGGCAGGAUUGGUGUCCAAGCAACCACUAACUCCAGGCCGGGACUUCCCCACUGGUCUACUGGACUCUAGCCUUGCUGAGCAAGACCUCUACAGAAGCUCCUGGUAGCUAUCAGAGAAUGAGGAGGAGCUAAGUGAUCGUGGAACUCUCUGAAAGGAUAGGCUUUCAUCUCGUUUUACAUUGGACAGUCUGGUUUUCAUGGGCCUGGGAGUUAUAAGGACCUGGGUUCUAAUCCCGACUCCAC